rnacentral:rRNA from 1 species
AUUGAACGCUGGCGGCAUGCCUUACACAUGCAAGUCGAACGGCAGCACGGAGCUUGCUCUGGUGGCGAGUGGCGAACGGGUGAGUAAUAUAUCGGAACGUACCCUAGAGUGGGGGAUAACGUAGCGAAAGUUACGCUAAUACCGCAUACGAUCUAAGGAUGAAAGUGGGGGAUCGCAAGACCUCAUGCUCGUGGAGCGGCCGAUAUCUGAUUAGCUAGUUGGUAGGGUAAAAGCCUACCAAGGCAUCGAUCAGUAGCUGGUCUGAGAGGACGACCAGCCACACUGGAACUGAGACACGGUCCAGACUCCUACGGGAGGCAGCAGUGGGGAAUUUUGGACAAUGGGCGAAAGCCUGAUCCAGCAAUGCCGCGUGAGUGAAGAAGGCCUUCGGGUUGUAAAGCUCUUUUGUCAGGGAAGAAACGGUGAGAGCUAAUAUCUCUUGCUAAUGACGGUACCUGAAGAAUAAGCACCGGCUAACUACGUG